CCAGGAUAUUUCCUCAAGUCGCUGUAAUCUCUGCACAGACAGAAGCGCUGUGGUGUGCAUAUAAUUCAGCUCCCGCCUCAGACAGAAUCAGCCAUCAUGUCAGACUGCAUGGCAGAAAUUGGGAGAAUGCAUCACACGCUGGGCUGCAGCCAGACGCUGCAGAAGCAAACUAAUGGAGCCUCAUGUCGUCCUCCAGGACUGAUGGCUGCGGCUUCCAGCUCCACCCAGAGGAUCUGAUGACAGCCCUUCAUCAGGUUGUGUCACGGCUUCACUUCGUCAUUGUUGCUGGUGCAUCAGCUCAGUGACAUCAGAGAGAACAGUUUGUUUCCGAACGCUUUGGCAACAUGGCAGCAUCAUGACAUGACCCCGCCGUCCCGCUCCAGGGUGAGCCCCCUGGGUGUGGCGUCAGGAUCUGCAUGGGUCAGAGGAGACCAUGACCAUGACUGAUGCUAGGAUGGAGCAUGGAAAAAGUCUGGAUGGGUGUAACUGGGUGUCAGUCUGGCAGCUGCCAACCUGGUUAUGAUUUUAUUCCUGAUUAAAAUCACUGCAGAGCCUCUAAAACUGACAUUAAAAAGUCUCAGCUAC